GGGUAACUCAUUGCUUCCAGUGUGCCGAAAAAAAAGGUCACUCCUUUUCACUUCCACUUCUUCAUUUAUUUAUUUAUUUGUUUAUUUCCUGUUUGGUGAGCGGGAAAAUGGUGGAAAGUGAGAGAGAAAUGAGAUGAUUUGUUAUUUUAUUUCUUUAUAAUCAUUGCUUAAAGAAUAAGAAACAAUAAAUACUUAGAAAAACUCAUUUGAAAUUGUAGCUAACUGGUUUUUUAGGCUCAGGUUAAGCAUUCUGAAUUUCAAAACCCUUUCUUUAUCUUUCUAGGUGACUAAAAGAGCCUACACCUUGUCAAUAUCUAAUGGCAAAAUCCACACAUUUGGUUGAUAAAUGUGAUUAGGGUUUGAAAUGUUGAUUUUAAUGCAUGCAAUAGCCAUAAUUUGAGUUAUUAUAUCAUGGUAACUGUUGGGAACAAGCAGUAUAUAUUUGAGGCAUUAAGAAAUUACAUGUAAAAAUUAAACUACUUUAGGUUUUCUUUAUUUCUUGUGACAUGCAGCAUUUUAUGUCUUUGAGCAUUCAUGUGGGGUUUCUCUUCAAUCUGUAGUUACUGUGAAUUAGGCCAUUAAUAUCAUAGUGAGUUUCAUUUAUAAAUUUCAUUCUGAUCUUUAAUCCUCACUUGUUAUAUAAUAUAUUCUCUUCUUCAUAUUUGGUUCGAUCUAACUUUGUAUUGUUGUUAUUACCUAUAGUUCUGUUUUAUUUUGGCUGAUGUUGUAGGCAUCUGUAGAAUGAAGUUGUAAAAGAGAUCUAAUAUAGCAACCACAACUAGUUGACAGUUUGGUCCUAAACAAAGUUAAAUGGGAGAAAGGAUUCAUGUUGUGUGAAAUUGUUUUGGGAUUGUGAUGCAGUCAAGGAAGACUAGAUUUAGGAAUUAUUUCAUUUAAUUUUUCAUUGUAAAAUUAGGAAUUUUAGGUUUCUAUCAAUUGGGAACUUAUAUUAUUUAGGACUUUAUUAUUAUUUAGGAAGUAGUAU
rnacentral:misc_RNA from 1 species